UUUAUUAUCAUUUUUUUCCUCUAACUUCUAUAAAUAAAAAUUUAAAAAAUAGAAAGUAUAUGUUGGGCCCACUUAGGCCCGGGACCGGCCCACUUAAUCCGGGACUAUUAGUUCGUGGGCCCGGUCCCGGGCCGGUUCCAACAAAAAACCUGCGAAGCCCAGGCCCACUUAGGUCCGUUUAAGUUGGGACCAGGCCCACUUAGGACCGGCCCACGAAGCCCACUUAGGACUGGGCCCGAUCCACAUGCCACCCUUAAACCAGCCACAGGCUAUUACGACUGCUUCAAGUUAGCUCAAACUUGAACAAAACAACUCGAGUUUACAAGUUCUUGCAAACCUAAGGAUUAACUCUAACCCUUGUAGCAACACGCCACAGGCUAUUGCGACUACUUCAAGUUAACUCUAACGUGAAUAAUGCAACUCAUGUACCAAGUAUAAUUUACUUCUACGAAAGCUAAAAGGUACAACUCAAAAUGCCUACUACACUUUGAACUACAAAUAAUGAAAGACACAUAAAACUCUUUAUGGAGCUGGUUCUUCAAUGUGGUUCGUGUAGCUUCAGGAUCACUCUUAAAUCUCACAGGAAUUGCUCACAAAAUGCCUUGCUAUUUUGCUCUCAAUUCAUGCUUAACUUCACUAUGUGUGGAUCACAUGUAGAAGAUAAUACAACUGAUAUUUAUAGAGUUAGUAAAAUAAGGAUUAACUAGAGUUUUAAUGCUUUACUCUUUCAUGGUGGAAGAAUUCUAGUCAACUUCUACUUCUAACUCUUCUAUUAUCUUGGAUAUAGUUCUCUUCAAGUAAGGAGUCUUGCUCUUUAUCAAAUAUGCAACCUUUUCGUUCAGGGAUUAUCAAAAAUAAUCACUUAUACUUAUCCCUUUCACGUGCAUGCCUUUUGCUUGAUUCUAUCUGUCACCUGUGUAUAUUGUCCAUGGACCUGGUUCAUGCAUGUGUUCCUUUGUCAAUCAUCAAAACCAAAUCACUCCGGUCAAGAAUGGAUAAGAAUCAUAUUAUCCAUUUAGAAAAUAGAUAACUAAUGGGUUUAAUUUUUAUAUUUGUAAAACCUCAAAUUGGGAGUUCCUCAAGUUUGGGAGACUAGGAAUUCUUCCAAAAGUGAUCAUAUUCAAGAAGCCAUAGAUAAUAUGAAUAUUUAACUCAUUUUUUAUCCGUAUUAAAUAUGGGUCGAGUCGGAUAAUUUAUCCAUUUUUACAUUAUUCAUUUUUGACUCGUCUCAUAACCGAACCGACUCGCCCGUUUGCCAUCCCUAGUUAUGAGUGAAGAAGCAGCCAUUUGUUUCUUCUUUUAAUGAUUAAGAUGUCAAUAUGAUAUUUUUGUUUUUGAAUACUGAAUGCUUAGGAUUGUUUGUUUUGUGAAUAUCUGAAUGUUUAGAAUCUAUUUAUAUUAAAAUAUUUAAGAAGAUAUGUUAUUCAAUAAAUUAAUCAAAAUAUUAUAUAUCCAUUAAAAAUAAUGUAAAAUGGUGGUUAGUAGUGAUAGUUGGUAGUGAUGGUAAUUGUUAUGGUGGCACUAGUUGAUAGCAGUGGAUAAUUGUGAUGGUUGUUGGGGUUGGCUGAUGGUGGUACUAAUUGAUAUCCAUUCUUUAAUUGAAAUAGUCUCUUAAUAAUCUAAAGACCUUUUUUUUAAGAUUUGAAUAAUUGACUCUAAAAGUAAACGAGAUGAUUCAAAUUAAACAGGGCAUUCCUUAGAGCAAAGAAUAGAAUCAAGAGAAAGCGCUCUAGCAUAUGUGAUUGAGAUAUAUCUGCUACAGCUAGAAGUCAGAUCUAUUACCUUCUUCAGUGUACUCAACAACUAGAGUCAUCUCCCUUUCUCCUUUUUAGUCGGUCGAGUAUCUUAUCCGAACGUUAAGAACUCAUUCCUGCCUUUGCAAUAUCAUCGCAUCUUCUGGCACAUAAUCGAUUGUCCUCUGCCUCGUUUUCUCUAUCAGAAGAUUGCCUUAUAUGGAGGGUUGACACUCUAAACUCUCUUUCUCACGUGAAACGAAAAAUAAUUCAAAUUUAGAUCUCCAUUAAAAAAGAACAAAUGGGAUCUAAAGCACCUAGAUGAAAGUGUUGUGGAAGUUGAAUAUAUAGAGAGUGAUUAAAUCACAAUUACUAUAUCUAAAGGUAGCUAAUAAAUAGUAAUUGAGACAAUAAUAAAAAGAACACCAGAAAUUAACGAUGUUCGGCAAAAUUUGAUUUUUGUCUAGUCCUCUGACACAAUAACUCAAACUUUAUUUCACUCCAAAAAUACAAGUGAAAUACUACAAGAGAGAAAAAAGAUUCAAAUGCCCUAGGAGAUAAGAAGGCA
rnacentral:lncRNA from 1 species